rnacentral:rRNA from 1 species
CGUAGGGACCAAGCGUUGUUCGGAUUUACUGGGCGUAAAGGGCGCGUAGGCGGCCCUACAAGUCACUUGUGAAAUCUCCGGGCUUAACUCGGAACGGCCAAGUGAAACUGUAGAGCUAGAGUGUGGAAGGGGCAAUCGGAAUUCUUGGUGUAGCGGUGAAAUGCGUAGAUAUCAAGAGGAACACCUGAGGUGAAGACGGGUUGCGUGGGCCAACACUGACGCUGAGGCGACGAAAGCCGAGGGGAGACAAACGGGAUUAGACUACCCCGGUAGUCCUCGGACCCUAAACGAUGAAUUACUUGGUGUCUGGUAGUUUCAACACGUCCGGGUGCCGUCGCUUAACGUUUUUAGUAUUCCGCCUGGGGAGUACGCUCGCAAGAGUG